ensembl:Y_RNA Y_RNA Y RNA
GGCUGGUCUAAAGGUAGUGAGUUAUCUCAAUUAAUCGUUCACAGUUAGAGAUCAAACUUCUGUUUUUUCCCCUCAUCUCACUACUGUACUUGACUAGUCUUUU